rnacentral:lncRNA from 1 species
UGUUUGUGUGCGCACGGCUUCAUUGUGUAUGUUGUAGUUCAGCUACAUACUUCUGAUAGUUCAACUUAAGGUUUUCAUUUAUUAGAGUUAAGAAAUCCUAUACAAUUCACUUGCUCUUUGUGUACUCGUUCGUUCAUUGUAGUAGGAUUUGGUGGGAGUGUAAAUGGCAACAAAUGAUGUUCGUGGUAAACAAAGCAGUUCUGUCACUUUACGUUUUGUGCUUUUAUUUUGAAGAGCACCCCCUCUUCUUCUACUACUUCCUGUUCUUCUACUACUUGCUGUUGUAUACGUUAAACGUUCAGCUCCCGGCUCAUCAUAACGACAUGCUCGUGUUGCUCCAGAGUUGGGACAUCACUAUGAAGUGUGGAAGAUAGGCUGCUAGCAGGCUGAGCUCAAACUUAGCGCCCUUGGAAGCAGAAGGAGGUAGGGGGAGACUGAUGGUGUAUUCAGUGUGAAACGAGUUGUUUAUUUGAUUUCACGAGUUGUUCAUUUGAUUUCAAAUGGAAGGAAACUGUCAUUAUUUUAUUUAAAUAAGAACUACAACCUAUAACGGCUAAAAACGGCUACUUUCAUGUAAAAUUCAUUAUUUGUUUACUAAAAUUGUUUGUGUUAAGUUUAAAAUGUAAACAUGAUUUCUAUGCAUUAUUUGUGGAAAUAUUAUGGUACUGUGAUAUUUGCAUUUUCUGUUCAUAUAGUUUUCACGGUGUCAUAAUGCAAGGUGAAAGAAGGAGAGGAUUAAAGUUGCACCAGUCGAAGCUCUGCAUCUUGCGUGGUUAUUCCAAGUGGGCCGCUACAAUUAGUAUUAAUAUAAAUAUGAAUAAAACACACAUUAAUUAAUGGAAUCUUCCGGGUUCAAACCCUCCUUUAUGAUGUCACACAGACUCAGCUAUUGUGUUUGUUAUUGUUAUUAAUAUGGUUAUUGUUGGUUAUUAGGGAUGAGCGAGUACACCACUAUCUGUAUCUGUUCAACCAACUAAAUUAUCUGUAUCUGUACUCGGAAUGGGCGUGGCAUAACCCGGAAGUGGGCGUGGUUUACAUCAAUAUAUUAUUUUUAGUCUGAAAUUGAUA